rnacentral:lncRNA from 1 species
AGCCUCUCGCGCUUGUGCUUCAGCAUUGUCUCCUCUUCCUUUUUCCAUUCUAUUUCCUAAAGAGAGAAUUUUUUGGCACAUUUAAAUUUACACGUCAGAUGUAAGUAGAUUGCCGUUUGUUUUCCUUCUCAUAGUUGCCUUUUGUUUUCCUUCUGACACAUCAUCUACAUGUUCCAAAUAAAACAUGGUCAGGUUCAUAGUUUUACAUGUUGAAGGGGGCAAACUAAUACGAAGUCAUGACAGCAAGGCAAAAAUUGGAACCCAAAUUAGGCCAUAUUCAAUUUUAUUUUUAUAAAAAUGUUUCACAAGCAUGAAUGGUAGAUGCGCACGUGUGUACAGAAUGUCACCCCCAUUUGUCAAACCAUCUUUUUGGACUCGGACUAGAACAAAAAUAAAAAAUGAGUAAAUAAGUUCAGGUUGGAUACCAAGUGUACUCUCUGCCUCCAUUCAAACUUCUCCUCCUAGCAUGUUGUAGCCUUUGCUCAGCUGAUAAUUACUUGCCCUGACAUAAUACAUGGAACAUAUAAGAAUCCAUGCUUCAUGUUAUUCUUAAGAAACAGUAACUUAUUGAGUAAAAACUAGAUUGAAGACCCCAACCUUAUAAAAGCAGCAUGUAAUAACAAUUAAACUCUAGAAGAGUACUCCACUUUCAGUCUGUCUUAGCAGCAAAAUGAAAGGAGACAUAAAUAAGUUCUCUAGCUAGUUAUUUUUCUUCCAUCUAACAGUAUAUGUGUGUGAUGAUAGUUGAACUAGAUGAUCUCACAUCGAUCGACCAAUGGGAAUAAACAGCACAAUAAAAAUAUCUUUUUACCCAAAGCAUGCUUGUAAAACUCCUAAAGUGUUUUACUGAUUUAGUAUUCAGUUGUAGCAUCCACUUGUUUAGCACCAAAAGAUUAUUGAAAUCCCUAUACUGAUAAGACUUAAUAAAACAUGUGUGCAUUAAUUGAGAAGUAUCCACUGCGGCACUGCCAUAGUGCAUAGAUCAUUUAGAAGUUUUCACUGGCAGAGAGCAUAUCUACAGUCCUUUACAUACCAUAUAAAUUGAAAUUGCAAACAUUCCCUGGUGCUUCCUAUCAAAAUGUCUGAAGAUGAAAACGAUAAAAUGGACUGAAGAACUGUUCUUACUCAAUUAAAUGGAGAAAUAUUUAAGUAGUGACUACCCUGAGUUCAAGCAUUACAAAAUACUAGAUGUUUCCUUUCAGCUUUGGCACAAACAACACAUGUCCAAGCAUAAUGUGUAUAUAAGUAUGAAAGAUAGAUCACAGUAGCUGAUAGCACAGGCAAGCAACAUAGAUGGGUAUAUCAUAUUCAGGCAAGCAACAUGUCCAAGCAUAAUUUUGGUACCGAUGUGUACUUGUUCUUUAUAUAAUAUAUAUGGGUAUAUCACAUUCAGGCAACAACUUUCACAGAACAUAAAUAAUAAACUUCAUAUCAGAGAACUAACACUUUUGCAAGUUCAAAUCCUUAAAUUCUUGAAGCAGUACUCCACUUUCAGUCUAUAUUUGUAGCAAACAGAGAAUAGACGGAAAGAGAUUCUCUAUCUGAUUUCUUUUCUUAGAUGUACAAGUAUAUGUGCGUGAUGACGAGUGAACUAAAUGAUCUCACAUAAAUCGAUCAAUGGAGAUAAACAAGGGUACUUGUUCUUUCCAACUACAUGUUCAUUAAUGAACUUUUAACAUCCAGAAUUAGCACAAAGAGCACUUAAUCAUAGUGAAUGGAAGAAUACCCAUUGGCACCAAGAAUUAGAGUUGUGAAGAGCAUCUUCAUUUGUACAUUCAAGGACAAGUUCGAGAGAAAAAAAUGUUACCUCAGUAUUGAACUCCUAUGAAACAAUUAGCUAGAUGGUAAAUCAGGGCAGGAAAAGUAGCUACUUUUGUAGAGAAAUUUUUAAUAUCAAAUCCACACUCAUGUCUAUAAAUUUAGCUCUUGCAGAUGGAUCGGAGGCACCAAAAACUUUAUAGAGCGCUACAUUUCCUUGCUACUAUAGUACACAAUUUUUUUAUUUGGAUUAGCAGUCCGCCCAGAAUCCAGAGCAAAUACAAGUCAUUGAUUUGUUCCAUAAUAUGAAUAUCCACCGUUCAUCAGUACUUUGCCCAAGAGAUCUAAUGGUUGACAUUUCUUAGAUUCGCUAUGUACGGGCAGGCACCAAAACAACUCUAGGACCUUUCUGGAAUCCUGACGGCUCCAAAGUCCAAAUGGGCCCACUGGUCAAACUCUGCUAUUCAAGAUCUUUUGUGGCUAUGAUCGGGAAACAACGAUGACUAGAGUAACCUUCCUUCUACUCCAUAAACAACUAGCUAGUACAAAGCACUAAUCAUUUGUAUCUACCAAGUUUCGAAGCAGCAACUUGCCAAUCCUUUGGACGGGAUUUAACAUUCAACAGCAUACAUAAUACUCCCGUCUCAAAAUAAAUGUUGCUCAAGUGAACGGAUCGAUGAGUGAGUGAAGAACACGUGCAUAAUUCGUGCCUUCGACUAGUAUACACAGUCUUCAGUUGCGCAAUGUCUGAACCUAAAUAAAUAAAGACCGAUCCAUGUACUAAAAAGGAUGGAUACAAGCAAAUGAAAUAGGCACAUAUACUUGCAUAUUAAGAUAACAAAAUGAAAUAUACACUAACCUGGCUGAAACCCUUUACAAAUCACGAGCACCAGGAAUAUCUCGGACAAACCAACCACUGCUAGAACCAGUCUCCAAUCCUUUCACUAAUAGCACCUGCAUCAAUUUGGUAGGAAAAGGAAAAAACAAUAAGUAACACGCUUAGUAGUAACUCGGCGGAAGGGGAAAUCUGCCUACGUACGGACAACUGGAGAACGCGCACCAUGAGUUCUCAUCGAGUAGAGAAGAAAAGAUUAACAAUCUUGGUAAGGAAGAUCUCACCUGCAUCGGGUUUCCACCAAGACGGAUCUGAGGA